rnacentral:rRNA from 1 species
AGUGAACGCUGGCGGCGUGCUUAACACAUGCAAGUCGAACGGUAACAGGAACUAGCUUGCUAGUUUGCUGACGAGUGGCGCACGGGUGAGUAAUAUAUAGUUAAUGUACCCCAAGGACUGGGAUAGCCACUGGAAACGGUGAUUAAUACUAGAUACACCUCUUUAAUAUAAGUUAGAGAGGGAAAUGUCUUUUCGCUUUGGGAUCAGACUAUAUCCUAUCAGUUAGUUGGUGAGGUAAUGGCUCACCAAGGCAAUGACGGGUAGCGGUUCUGAGAGGAUGAUCCGCCACACUGGUACUGAGACACGGACCAGACUCCUACGGGAGGUAGCAGUGAGGAAUAUUGCACAAUGGGGGGAACCCUGAUGCAGCAACGCCGCGUGGAGGAUGACGCAUUUCGGUGUGUAAACUCCUUUUAUAUGUCAAGAAAAUGACGGUAGCAUAUGAAUAAGCACCGGCUAACUCCGUGCCAGCAGCCGCGGUAAAGUA